rnacentral:rRNA from 1 species
GAGUUUGAUCCUGGCUCAGGACGAACGCUGGCGGCGUGGAUUAGGCAUGCAAGUUGAGCGACGGCUGAGGGCUUGCCCUUAGCACGGAGCAGCGAACGGGUGAGUAACACGUGAACAAUCUGUCCCUACAUUCCGGAUAAUUGAUCGAAAGGUCUUGUAAUACGGGCGAGGGUCUUUGAGGGGAAUCCCUUAGAGAAGGAAGGUGCAAGUUCUACUUGUGCCGUGCAGGGAGGAGUUCGCGGCCUAUCAGUUAGUUGGUGGGGUAACGGCCUACCAAGACGACGACGGGUAGCUGGUCUGAGAGGAUGGUCAGCCACAUUGGAACUGAGACACUGUCCAGACUCCUACGGGAGGCUGCAGUCGAGAAUCUUGGGCAAUGCACGAAAGUGUGACCCAGCGACGCCGCGUGGAGGAUGAAGGCGCUCUGCGUUGUAAACUCCUUUUAGGGGAGAAGAAUGAGGCUUCGGCCUUUUGACGGUAUCCCCUGAAUAAGCCACGGCUAACUACGUGCCAGCAGCCGCGGUAAUACGUAGGUGGCAAGCGUUGUCCGGAUUUACUGGGCGUAAAGCGUAUGCAGGCGGAUGGUUAAGUAGGAAGUGAAAGGUGGGAGCUCAACUCCCACACUGCUCCCUAUACUGGCUGUCUUGAGUAGCGGAGAGGAAGAUGGAACGACACGUGUAGCGGUGAAAUGCGUUGAUAUGUGUCGGAACACCAAUGGCGAAAGCAGUCUUCUGGACGCUAACUGACGCUGAGAUACGAAAGCCAAGGUAGCAAACAGGAUUAGAUACCCUGGUAGUCUUGGCCAUAAACGAUGUUCACUAGGUGUUGGGGUUUUACCUCGGUGCCGCAGCUAACGCAUUAAGUGAACCGCCUGGGAACUACGAUCGCAAGAUUAAAACUCAAAGGAAUUGGCGGGGGCCCGCACAAGCGGUGGAGCAUGUGGCUUAAUUCGAUGCAACGCGAAGAACCUUACCAGGGCUUGACAUGCACCUGCAAGCGUUAGAAAUAGCGCCGCCUUCGAGGGUGGUGCACAGGUGGUGCCUGGCUGUCGUCAGCUCGUGUUGUGAAAUGUUGGGUUAAGUCCCGCAACGAGCGCAACCC